UACGAAGGGGGCUAGCGUUGUUCGGAAUCACUGGGCGUAAAGGGCGCGUAGGCGGCUUUAUAAGUCGGGGGUGAAAGCCUGUGGCUCAACCACAGAAUUGCCUUCGAUACUGUAUGGCUUGAGACCGGAAGAGGUAGGUGGAACUGCGAGUGUAGAGGUGAAAUUCGUAGAUAUUCGCAAGAACACCAGUGGCGAAGGCGGCUCACUGGCCCGAUACUGACGCUGAGGCACGAAAGCGUGGGGAGCAUACAGG
rnacentral:rRNA from 1 species